rnacentral:rRNA from 1 species
UACGUAGGGUGCAAGCGUUUGUCCGGAAUUAUUGGGCGUAAAGAGCUCGUAGGCGGUCUGUCGCGUCUGCUGUGAAAACUCGGGGGCUUAACCCCGGGCCUGCAGUGGGGUACGGGCAGACUAGAGUGCGGUAGGGGAGACUGGAAUUCCUGGUGUAGCGGUGAAAUGCGCAGAUAUCAGGAGGAACACCGGUGGCGAAGGCGGGGUCUCUGGGGCCGAUACUGACGCUGAGGAGCGAAAGCGUGGGGAGCAAACAGG